CUACAGGCCUGCGCCACCACGCCCGGAUAAUUUUUGCAUUUUUAGUAGAGACAGGGUUUCACCAUGUUGGCCAGACUGCUCUCGAACUCCUGACCUCAAAUGAUCUGCCUGCCUCCCAAUGUGCUGGGAUUAUAGGCGAGAGCCACUGCACCCAGCCACCAUGAAACAUUUCUAUACAUUUAUGAGACCCAACUCCAAAAGCAUACUGGAAUGGAAUUAAAGACCGAACUACAGAAGCUAAAGAGAGCUGAUCAAACUAAAAAAAAAAGUUAAAGGUGAGGAGGCCAAGGCUCAGAAGAGUCACUUGCCCAUGAUCACUGCUCUUAUAGCGCCAACUCAGAGCUCAGGCAAUGCUCAUGUUCUUUCCACUGUGCCUCAUCGCUCAUGUCUGACUCUUCUAGAAAUGUGGGCAAAUCCCCUGCCUUCUGUGGGUCUCAGAUUUCCAUAAAAAAUAAAAUCAAUGGAUCAACUUAAUUAGACAUCUUGAGUCUAAAAUUCUUAGCUCCAAAACAGAGGAUGGUGAUGAGUAUAUGCAAAUGCGGCAAUAUUUCAGCAACACACAUGGGCUUCAGAAUAAAUAUCAAGAUCUUCCUACAUGUUAAUAACACUGAAAUUUUGUUACCCAGAAAAUAUAAUGGGUUUUUCUUAUCUUGAGUUUUUUAGAUUUCUGAAAAUUUUAGUCUUGGAAUUUAUUCCUUGCUUUAUAUCAAAUGUUUCUGUGUCAACUCCUCC
rnacentral:lncRNA from 1 species